rnacentral:lncRNA from 1 species
GCAUUUUCCAUCAAUCAGCAGCCCCAGGGGGACUCCUCUGUGCUUCACUUUCUCUGUCUGCAAAAUGGGAGCCAUAAUUGGACCUACCUCCUUGCGCUGUCCUGAGCUUGUGAGAGCUGAUGCUUCACCUAAGGAUUAGAACAACACCUACUGGUGGCCAAGUGCCUGGGUGACUCUUGAGCCUGAGGCAGGAGGAGGGCAAGUUUCAGGCCAGCCUGGGCAAAGUAGCAAGACCCUGUCUCAAAAUAAAAAGUGUCGGGGAUGUAGCUCAGAUGUAGAGGUUGAAUGCUCUUUGUUUUUAUAGGGGGAGGGUACUGGGGAUUGAACUCAGGGACAUUUGCCCACUGAGCCACAUCCCCAGCCUCUGCCAUAAAUUUUGUAUUUUAUUUAGAGACAGGGUCUCACUGAGUUGCUUAGUGCCUCACCUUUGCUGAGCCUGGCUUUGAACUUGGGAUCAUCCUGCCUCAGCCUCCUGAGCCGCUAGGAUUACCGGCGUGUGCCACCAUGCUGGGUAGAAUGUUUUUAAAAAACAACAACAAAAAAAAAACACAAAGCCCAGAGUAUGGCAAGAACGCAGUAGAUGUCCUUCACAGGAAGACCUGGGAACAGGUGUAAUAAGUGUUCCCCACCCUGGCCUGGAUAGUGACAGGGUGUGGGAGACUCCUGCAGCUGGGCUUCAAGAUUCUGAUGUAUGGCAGUGGACAGGGACAGGUAUUCCAGACAAAGGAGCAGGUGUGGACAGAGGCCUAGGGGAGGUGGCCAUUAGUUGAUGCUGGCUGCAUGCCUCUGUCAAAAGAGCCAGAGAGGUUCCAAGUCCAGCCAUUUCUUUUGUUUGUUCAUGCCAUAAGCAUUCAUUGAGCUUCUGCUGUAUGCUAGGAGCUGGCUCUCAAGCAGGUAGUGUAGCCUCAAGGAGCCCACAUGCUGACAGGGAUCAUCACUGAUGAAGUCGCCUUGGCUGCUGUGGGAUAGCAUGUGACCCGUGUGCUAGAGGACAAGUCUAGGUCUUGACACAUCUGGCAGGCUUCUUUGUGUUCCACUGGAAGCAGACAGAGAGUGGACAGGACAGGGAACAACUAGCACCACUG